rnacentral:misc_RNA from 1 species
GAUGAAGAACGCAGCGAAAUGCGAUACGUAAUGUGAAUUGCAGAAUUCAGUGAAUCAUCGAAUCUUUGAACGCACAUUGCGCCCGUCAGUAUUCUGGCGGGCAUGCCUGUUCGAGCGUCAUUACGCCCCUCAAGUCCCCUGUGGACUUGGUGUUGGGGAUCGGCGAGGCUGGUUUUACAGCACAGCCGUCCCUUAAAUUAAUUGGCGGUCUCGCCGUGGCCCUCCUCUGCGCAGUAGUAAAACACUCGCAACAGGAGCCCGGCGCGGUCCACUGCCGUAAAACCCCCCAACUUUUUAUAGUUGACCUCGAAUCAGGUAGGACUACCCGCUGAACUUAAGCAUAUCAAUAAGCGGAGGA